UACAGAGGUCUCAAGCGUUGUUCGGAUUCAUUGGGCGUAAAGGGUGCGUAGGCGGCGCAGUAAGUCGGGUGUGAAAUCUCGGAGCUUAACUCCGAAACUGCAUUCGAUACUGCCGUGCUUGAGGACUGGAGAGGAGACUGGAAUUUACGGUGUAGCGGUGAAAUGCGCAGAUAUCAGGAGGAACACCGGUGGCGAAGGCGGGUCUCUGGGCCGAUAUUGACGCUGGAGGAGCGAAAGCGUGGGGAGCGAAACAGG
rnacentral:rRNA from 1 species